AUCUCUAAAACAUACAAACAAUGUAUACAACUCAACAGCAAAAAAGCCAACAACCCAAUGGGAAAAUGGGCAAAACACCUGAAGAGACAUUUCUCCAAAGAACAUAUACAGAUGGCCAACAAGCACAUGGAAAAAUGCUCCACAUCGCUGAUUACUAGAGAAAUGCAGUGAGGUACCACCUCACACCAGUCAGAAUGGCCAUCAUUGGUAAGUCCACAAAUAACAGAUGCUGGAGAGGGUGUGGAGAAAAGGGAACCCUCCCGCACUGUUGGUGGGAAUGCAAACUGGUACAACCAUUAUGGAAAACAGUAUGGAGGUACCUUAGAAAACUAUACACAGAACUACCACAUGACCCAGCAAUCCCACUCUUGGCCAUGUAUACGGAUAAAACUUUCCUUGAAAAAGACCCAUGCACUCGCAUGUUCACUACAGUACUAUUCGCAGUAGCCAAGACAUGGAAACAACCUAAAUGUCUAUCGAUGGAUGAAUGGAUUCAGAAGAUGUGGUAUAUACAUACACAAUGGAACACUACUCAGCCGUAAAAAAGAACCAAAUAAUGCCAUUUGCAGCAACAUGGAUGGAACUAGAGACUCUCAUACUAAGUGAAGUAAGUCAGAGAGAGAAUGACAAAUAUGUGUGAUACCACUUAUAUCUAGAAUGUAAUCUAUGGCACAAAUGAACUUUUCCACAGAAAAGAAAAUGGACAUGGAGAAGAGAUUUGUGCUUGCCAAGGGGGGAGGGGAGGGGGCGGGAGUGGGAUGGAUUGGGAAUUUGGGGUUAAUAAAUGCAAACUUUGGAAUGGAUAAGGAAUGAGAUCCUGCUGUAUAGCACUGGGAACUAUGUCUAGUCACUUACGAUGGAGGAUAAUGUGAGAAAAAGAAUGUAUGUGUGCAUGUGUGACUGGGUCACGUUGGUAUACAGUAGAAACUGACAGAACACUGUAAACCAGGUAUAAUAUAAAAAGUAAAAAUCAUUAUAAAUAAUGUUUAAAAAAGAUAAUAUCUCAGGGUUCCUAAAGAAAUAAACCUGAGCUCAAGUGACCAAAUUUUCUUACUUUACCUUGUACUUUCCCUGAAACUAUUCAGGUUAUAUAAUCUUAGUGCCAAAUACUUCUUUUGGCUAGUUGGUGCCAACCACCUACCCCUACUGUGGCAGAUAUCUGCCAAGGUUAGUGACUUUGGCAGGACAUCAUUCUCAUCCAGUUCGAAUCAGCUGUGUUCAGAGAAAACAUAUAACUGAUGUUACUUCCCAGUCCAAGUUUCCAUGAAAGUCAGAAGUACAGAGGAAGGACAGAGGAUUUAGGGCUAUUGUCCCCAAAGGAUCACAGGGCCAGCAGGUAUAUAUGACUUCAUGAUAUUUUCCAUACUGCAACCACUAUUCCUGCACCUCAUGUAUCUCCCUUAUUCACUCAAGCCCAGCUGCUAUUUAAAAUCCCUGAAUCCUAGACUCCAGAAGUGCUUUCUAUGAUUGCAAAGUCCACUCUUGCUACACAUUUUGAAAAAGAGGUCAUCAAAGGAUUUACCUGGUAGAGCACCCCUCUGAAGUUCAGCAGAGAAAGUUUCAAAUGGCCUUGUGAUUUUCCAGAUGAAAAGGAUGACAGAAGUGCAAAUUAUUGGCAUUAAAUGGGAAAGAAGAACAUUGGAAGAUCAAGUGUAGUUUGGGGAGAAAUUAAAACUAAGAACAAAAGAAAGGAAAUUAAAUUCAGGUCUGUUCCUUAAAAGGAUGGAUUCUGAUUUUGAUCUUGAAAAAAAUUUUUUUGAAGAAAAGCUGUUUCCAACACUAUCCAUUUUAUAACCUUUUAUGAUGUCUUUCAUCUAUUGAACAAUUGGAGAGAAAAGAAGGAGUUGAUGGUGAUUAAGCAAUCACUAGACUAUUAAGUCUAAAAAUAACGUUAAAAAUAGUGGCAGUUCUACAAACCUGUCACAAAUAACUAGGUCAGGGCAAACAAAGAGCAAGAAAUAUAACCUGCAGAAUUAUAACAAAACAGCAGCAACAAAUUUAUCAUUAUUAUUCUAAUAUUAAUCUUUUUAUUUUUAUCUUCCUUGUAAUAAUAUAAUGUUUCAUUGCAGGUAGAAAAUAUAAACUGUGUAGGCAUCAGAAGGAGUGCUGUCAUAAUUGAAUCCUUUCAAGAAUUACUGUGUGGCUCUCUCUCCUUUCCUCUUCUUUUCAGCCUCUCUAGGGAAUUCAGGAGGGACCCUGCCAGCAUAUCAAUAGUACAGGCUGCAACCUGCAUUUGCAAGAGUAUUAUAGUAAAUGCCCUCAUUAAUAAAAAUUGAGACCAUUUCCCCAAAAGCAUUUACCUAGAAAAGAUAUUUUUAUUUUUAUUUAUUUAUUUAUUUUGUCUUUUUGAGUUUUUUUAGGGCCGCACUCUCAGCAUAUGGAAGUUCCCAGGCUAGGGGGUCUCAUCGGAGCUGUAGCCACCAGCCUGCACCAGAGCCACAGCAACGCCAGAUCCGAGCCGUGUCUGGGACCUACACCACAGCUCACGGCAACGCCAGAUCCUUAACCCAAUGAGUAAGGCCAGGAAUUGAACCCGCAUCCUCAUGGGUCCUAGUUGGGUUCGUUAACCACUGAGCCACGAUGGGAACUCCGAAAAGAUAUUUUUAAAAAAUUCAGCAUUAGCCUUAACAAAUGGAAGAAAGACCUUGCCCCAGUGGUCAAAGCAAGGGUUUUGAGGCUGAAGACCCAGUCCCCUCGCUCAGGUUCCCCGACGGUAAUGGAGGUAAUAUCAUCUGCCCUGGGUCUCUCUAAGGUGCAAAGAAAUUAAAUCCGGUAAGAGAUAUGAUGAUUCUCUGGACAGUUUUAAUCAAUACACAGUUAGGAAGGGUUCGCAGCCAUAAUGCUUUUGUGUCUGUACGACUGCUUUCAUGUCUCUAGUGAAGAAACCCAUUGUGCAUGGUGGAACAAGUAGCACCUGCUUUAGACAAAGUGGGAAUAAUGAGGCAUUAUUUGGGGUACCACUCCUUGAAGUUUCCUAGUGAGAACCACUCACUCCACUCUGCCCCACCAAACACAGAUAUAGCAGUAUCCCCCGCUGACUGCCCCACCACACGCAGUUGGUCCUGUUCCCUUUUAAAGCCUUUCUUUAAUCUCAUGAUUCUUCAAAGGAACUUGAGAUGCCAUGAUAAUGGUUUCAUAUGUGAUUCUUACCCAGGUCUUUUUGCAUUUUAACAUGGAACAGUGUCUUACUCCAUAGGAAUGACCAACGACGGAGCUCUUGAGGUCCUAGUCAUUCAUUCAGUACUGUGCUCUUCAAGCUUUUGAUCACUGAUUUAAAAAAUAUUUACUGAGUGUUUGACCAUGUGCCAGAGAAUGUGCUAAAAUUGGAAAUGCAGAUGAGAACGAGAGGAGCAUGGUUUGGGCCUUCAUCAAACUGACUUGGAAAUAGAUGACCAAACAGGCGAUCUGUCUGUGUUACAAGGGCUUUGAGGGGGCAGACGGUGAUGCUGUGGGAAGCUUCUAGGUCUUGGGACAGGCUGUUUGGGAGGCUCUGAGGGCCGCGUACAGGCUUGCUGUCUACUACCUAGGAGAGUGAUGUCCUUAUUUAUAAAUAGGACCAGUUCUGCUCAGAAGAAACUAAUUGGGAAAGGAGAAAAAGUACCGGAUUGGGAGUCAAAUGCCCCAAGUGGAGCCUCAGUUCUGCUUCACCAAUUAUGUGUCUCUGGAGAAUUUGCUCAACUUUUCUGAGCCUCAGCUUCUUUCUCUGCAAAAAAAUUAGGACAGAAUAGAGACUUUUAAAGUCUUCAUCAGUUUUACACUUUUAUAUCAAAGUGGUUUUCUAAACACUUUGAAUUAACUCUUUCAAGUCUAAGGUCCAAAAUGUAAUUUUCCUACAUUUGCAAUAUUUGCAAAGGAUAAAAAGGUCACUGCCUACAUAGUCUUAUUCAGUGUAUUUAUUUCUUGGCCACUGAUCACUGCUGUACCUAUAACUUUCUUGGGAAAUAUGAUGAAAGGUCCUUGCUCAAGUGAAUGAUAACCCUGGGUUCUCUGUUGCUGUCCCACAGGCACUGAAGAAUAGGCUGAUAACCAAACUGAGAAGCUUAACAAAGCCAAGCUCUUCCUGUUGGAUGUCUUAUCUUAUCAGUAUUGGAAUGCCUUGGUCCACUGCACAAGGCAGAUUCAACGAACCUCGCCAAGGAAGGUAAUGGGAAACGUUAAAGGAAAUAAAAAUUCUAAAAUAGAUAAGCGCAAACUUUCCUUGUUAUCCAGCUUUAAUAAACCAUGAUCCUUAUACGAUCAAAUCAAAAGGACAACUUCUCUCAGACCUACAAUUAAAGGAAAGGCACUUUAGAUGUCAUUUGAUCCAAUGCCUAAACUUCAGAGAUAAGGAAAUUAAGGCUCAGAUAGGAUAAAAUGUUUUCGCCAAGAACCCACAGCUGGUUGGAAGCAGGCCAGAACCAGAAUGCAGAUUUUCUGAUUCCCAGGCAGCAGGGCUCUCGGUCUCCUUCAGCUUGCUACUCACCCCAGAUGGCACUGGUUGUCUUUAAGCUGUACAUAUUCCAAAGCGACCCCAGCCUCUCUUGCAGUAUGUUUUGGGUCCUCACUUCUGAAGAGGAAGGAGGAUUUCCUUACUCAUCCUUACAUUUACCACCACAGUCAGGUCACUCAAUGCUUAUGCUUGUGGGUACCUCCCUUGCUGGAGGGCCUCUGUUCCUGGUCGGUGGAAACCCCAUUUCCUUUAUGGUCUGUUUUCUCCAUGGCCUAAUAGUGUCCCUGCUUUUAACCAAAUGCAUCCAAGGUCAACACGAAGCAAGAGUUGUUACCUUAUUAUGUGGUUUUUUUGUUUGUUCAUUUUAAUGUAUGUGUUUUCAGGCAUCUUAAGAUUUGGAUGCCAGUGUUCCUGUCAUGACUCAGUGGUUAAUGAAUCCAACUAGGAACCAUGAGGUUGCAGGUUCGAUCCCUGGCCUCACUCAGUGGGUUAAGGAUCCAGUAUCGCUGUGAGCUGUGGUAUAGGUCACAAACACAGCUCAAAUCCUGAGUUGCUGUGGCUCUGGUGAAGGCCAGCAGCUACAGCUCUGAAUAGACCCCUAGCCUGGGAAC
rnacentral:lncRNA from 1 species